AACGAACGUUGGCGGCGUGGAUGAGGCAUGCAAGUCGAACGCGAAAGCCGCAAGGCGAGUAAAGUGGCGGACGGGCGAGUAACACGUAAUCAAGCUACCUGUGAGACGGGGAUAACUUCGGGAAACCGAAGCUAAGACCCGAUGGCCUUAGGAGAUCGCAUGGUUUCCUAAGUAAAUGGGCGGGACCUUUCGGGGUCGCCUGCUCGCAGAGGUGAUUGCGGCCCAUCAGCUAGUUGGUAGGGUAAUGGCCUACCAAGGCAACGACGGGUAGCCGGCCUUAGAGGGUGGUCGGCCGCACUGGGACUGAGACACUGCCCAGACUCCUACGGGAGGCUGCAGUCGAGAAUCUUCCGCAAUGGGCGAAAGCCUGACGGAGCGACGCCGCGUGGAGGAUGAAGGCCUU
rnacentral:rRNA from 1 species